rnacentral:rRNA from 1 species
UACGAAGGGGGCUAGCGUUGCUCGGAAUCACUGGGCGUAAAGGGUGCGUAGGCGGGUCUUUAAGUCAGGGGUGAAAUCCUGGAGCUCAACUCCAGAACUGCCUUUGAUACUGAAGAUCUUGAGUUCGGGAGAGGUGAGUGGAACUGCGAGUGUAGAGGUGAAAUUCGUAGAUAUUAGGAAGAACACCGGUGGCGAAGGCGGCCCACUGGCUCGAUACUGACGCUGAGGUGCGAAAGCGUGGGGAGCAAACAGG